AGCAGUUUCCCAUAUAUCAGCUUAUCUGGGCCAACAGCAGUCCUGUGCAGAAAGCAGGAAUGUUACCCUCCCUUUUCCACUGAGAAAAUUGCAGCACGUGGGAUCUUCAGUGUUCCUUGCAGCAGGCGGGAUCUUCUGCUGUGGCAUGUGGGAUCUAGUUCCCUGACCAGGGACCAAACCCCAGCGCCCUGCAGUCCGAGUCUUAGCCACUAGACCCCAGGAAGUCCCUCUUCCUGCAAUUUUCAAGCCUCUUGAAAAUUGGAACUCCUCUAGAACUCCUGCUGGAAGACACCAGGGGAAUCAUCUACUCCCAUUUUCCCAUUUUACAGAUGUUCUCAUCUGUAAAAUGAGACUCAGGCCCUAGGCCCUCGUGGCGUCCUGAUUGCCUUCCACAUUCCGUGCUCUUGGAGCCCCGCUGUGGCUGAAAGUACCCACUGCAGCACUGAUUGCACCUGUUCCUGGGGGAAAUAGCAGAGCUAGAAAGAGGGAGGUGAAGGA
ensembl:lncRNA